GAUGAACGCUGGCGGCGUGCCUAAUACAUGCAAGUCGAGCGAACAGAUAAGGAGCUUGCUCCUUUGACGUUAGCGGCGGACGGGUGAGUAACACGUGGGUAACCUACCUAUAAGACUGGAAUAACUCCGGGAAACCGGGGCUAAUGCCGGAUAACAUUUAGAACCGCAUGGUUCUAAAGUGAAAGAUGGUUUUGCUAUCACUUAUAGAUGGACCCGCGCCAUAUUAGCUAGUUGGUAAGGUAACGGCUUACCAAGGCAACGAUACGUAGCCGACCUGAGAGGGUGAUCGGCCACACUGGAACUGAGACACGGUCCAGACUCCUACGGGAGGCAGCAGUAGGGAAUCUUCCGCAAUGGGCGAAAGCCUGACGGAGCAACGCCGCGUGAGUGAUGAAGGUCUUCGGAUCGUAAAACUCUGUUAUUAGGGAAGAACAAAUGUGUAAGUAACUGUGCACGUCUUGACGGUACCUAAUCAGAAAGCCACGGCUAACUACGUG
rnacentral:rRNA from 1 species